UCACUUACAGAUGGACCCGCGGCGCAUUAGCUAGUUGGUGGGGUAAUGGCUCACCAAGGCGACGAUGCGUAGCCGACCUGAGAGGGUGAUCGGCCACACUGGGACUGAGACACGGCCCAGACUCCUACGGGAGGCAGCAGUAGGGAAUCUUCCGCAAUGGACGAAAGUCUGACGGAGCAACGCCGCGUGAGUGAUGAAGGUUUUCGGAUCGUAAAGCUCUGUUGUUAGGGAAGAACAAGUGCGAGAGUAACUGCUCGCACCUUGACGGUACCUAACCAGAAAGCCACGGCUAACUACGUGCCAGCAGCCGCGGUAAUACGUAGGUGGCAAGCGUUGUCCGGAAUUAUUGGGCGUAAAGGGCUCGCAGGCGGUUUCUUAAGUCUGAUGUGAAAGCCCCCGGCUCAACCGGGGAGGGUCAUUGGAAACUGGGAAACUUGAGUGCAGAAGAGGAGAGUGGAAUUCCACGUGUAGCGGUGAAAUGCGUAGAGAUGUGGAGGAACACCAGUGGCGAAGGCGACUCUCUGGUCUGUAACUGACGCUGAGGAGCGAAAGCGUGGGGAGCGAACAGGAUUAGAUACCCUGGUAGUCC
rnacentral:rRNA from 1 species